GAUGAACGCUGGCGGCGUGCCUAACACAUGCAAGUCGAACGGCAGCGAGGUGUGCUUGCGCCCUGUCGGCGAGCGGCGGACGGCUGAGUAACGCGUGGGACCGUCCCUCAACUUUAGGAAUAACUGCCCGAAAGGGUAGUAAAUACCGCUUGGUAUCUUCGGAUCAUAGGGUUUAUUCGCUAUGGGAGCGGGUCGCGUCGGAUUAGGGGGUUGGUAAGGUAAUUGCUCAGCAAGCCGACGAUCCGUAGCUGGUCUGAGAGGAUGACCAGCCAGACUGGAACUGAGACACGGUCCAGACUCCGACGGAAGGGAGGGGAGAGGAAUAUACCACAAUGGGGGAAGGCCUGAUGGCGCAGCGUCGGGUACAGGAGGAAGGGGGUUGGGAUGUGAAUUGCUUUUAUAAGAGGGGAAUAUGACGGUAACGGAUGAAUAAGGACCGGCUAACUACGUG
rnacentral:rRNA from 1 species